UACGUAGGGUGCGAGCGUUAAUCGGAAUUACUGGGCGUAAAGCGUGCGCAGGCGGUUCGUUGUGUCGGCGGUGAAAGCCCCGGGCUUAACCUGGGAACUGCAUUUGUGACUGCAUCGCUGGAGUGCGGCAGAGGGGGAUGGAAUUCCGCGUGUAGCAGUGAAAUGCGUAGAUAUGCGGAGGAACACCGAUGGCGAAGGCAAUCCCCUGGGCCUGCACUGACGCUCAUGCACGAAAGCGUGGGGAGCAAACAGG
rnacentral:rRNA from 1 species